UAUCUCCCGCUCACAUUCCCUGAUGGCCCUCAGCCUCUCCACCUCCUCCUUGAGCUCCGCCACCAUGCGGAUCAGGUCAUCCACUUGCUCACAUCUCACGCACGCAGUGUCUCUGCCUCCCGCCGACGGCAGCAGCAGGCUCUGACACUCCCUGCAUCCGGUGACCUGAACCGCUGCAUUCUUUAACGGGCAGUCGGUCUGGGUGUGUACCGACCUCCUGCAGAGCGCUCCGUGCCUUGUGGAGACCAUUAUCGCCUAGCUAAAGACCGUCGUUAAGAGGCGUUCGUGUGGGCGGGGGUUGCUCUCCUCCCUUCCUGCUCGCCCUGCCUGCGCGACCUGUUUGAUUUCACAGUGGAGAAGAUUUUAAAAAUGACUAAUCUAAGAAGAACAAAAGGCAGGCUGCAGCAGGGAAAAGACUUGGGAGAAGAUGGCAAGAAUAGUUAAAAGAAGGGAAUUUCAGGCAAGAGCAGUGAACUUUUUCAUGAUUUGCUGAAUCAUCGUAUUUUCAGUUCUGUCCUGACACAGCAAUAUUCUGAGGCUGAUUAUCAUUACAGCUACUGCUGAAUGACUUUGGAAAUGAAAAAGUGACUAAUACUCAGAUUCAAGAUUGCCAGCUAAAGAAAGCUCAAUUAUCUCUACCUCUCUGACAGAAGCCAUUUUAAACUGAUCAGUGUGAAUGCCGACAUCCAAAUGUACUCAUUUAAAACAUCUACUUGUUCAUCCUAAAACUAUAUUUAAACUUUUUGUUUUGUGUAUUAUACUAGUAGUUCUAGUGAUCUUACAGAUUUUUGUUUGUUUGUUUAUUUACUUUUUUGCUCCUCAGCUGUAUGUGUAUUAAAUAUCUGGAAUUGUCAGACAAAAUUUUCCGAUUAAAUUCAAUGCAAAGACUAAGCAAGUAGGAUCACAAUUUAGUGUUUUUAUCUCUAAAACAAAGAAACUUUCUCCUCUGUAAAUAUGUAAGUAUAAUGAUUCAUAUGGGAAUGACAUCCAUUAUCUUAGUCAACAUUUCACAUAUGACAGAAGAACAAAAUUAUUAUCAAGGCUAAUUGCUUUUUAUUUAAAGAGAUACACCUAAAUAUUUAUAUCAGUACUUACCUCCUGAUUCUCUGCUGUUGUUUUAUAAAUGUAUGUAGUUAUGAAAACAACAAAUAAAGCUGUUUUCUAGAAUAUAUACAAUCA